GAUGAACGCUGGCGGCGUCCCUAAUACAUGCAAGUCGAGCGAACGGACGAGAAGCUUGCUUCUCUGAUGUUAGCGGCGGACGGGUGAGUAACACGUGGAUAACCUACCUAUAAGACUGGGAUAACUUCGGGAAACCGGAGCUAAUACCGGAUAAUAUUUUGAACCGCAUGGUUCAAAAGUGAAAGACGGUCUUGCUGUCACUUAUAGAUGGAUCAGCGCUGCAUUAGCUAGUUGGUAAGGUAACGGCUUACCAAGGCAACGAUGCAUAGCCGACCUGAGAGGGUGAUCGGCCACACUGGAACUGAGACACGGUCCAGACUCCUACGGGAGGCAGCAGUAGGGAAUCUUCCGCAAUGGGCGAAAGCCUGACGGAGCAACGCCGCGUGAGUGAUGAAGGUCUUCGGAUCGUAAAACUCUGUUAUUAGGGAAGAACAUAUGUGUAAGUAACUGUGCACAUCUUGACGGUACCUAAUCAGAAAGCCACGGCUAACUACGUG
rnacentral:rRNA from 1 species